UUACGGCCACAUCACGUUGAGACACUAGUUCCCAUACGAUCACCGAAGUUAAGCAACUUCGAGCCUAAUCAGUAACUAGAUGGGUAACAGCUUGGGAAUAUCAGAUGCU